UCCGGUCCCAGGACAGGCCUUUUUCCACCACCAAGCUCUUUCCCUGAGGCGCUGGGGACCGACCCCACCCCGCAGGCUCCUUGAAGCUCGGGAACUGCUGCGCAGCCAGCUUGGGUGGCGGGCUGCGCCCGCUGCGCUUACCGCUUACCUCGGACGGCGCGAUCUCAAACACGCCAGCGAUCUUGGCGUAGAGCUCGCUGAUGCUGGAGAAGUCCUCCACUCGGCCCGUGGCGCUGCCGUGCGCCAGCUGCGCGUGGAACACCAGCUUGCGUGCCGGAGCUGGGGGUCCGGGGACACCCUGGCUGCCACCGGAUCUCUCGCCUUCCACCAGCCUCGCGGUCUCCUUGGACUUGGCCGCCUUCUUCUUCGCGCGCAGCCCAAGCGGCAUCUUGCAGGUCCCAGGGCGUGGACCACCUGCGCUGCGGCGCCAGCUCCCUGGCUUCGGACAGCGGACUUUGCGCUUGGGGGCCCGGCUUCCCGCAGGUGACAGCGGCUGCUGGGCCAAUGGUAGCAGCGCUUCCGCCUAGCGGCGCGGGCUUCAGGUCCCCUCCCUGUGAAGGACAGGGCACCUGAGCCGAGCAGAAGGAAAGAAGGAAAGCUGUGCAUGAGUCAACUUCCUUCUAGACGCAGGCCCCCUCUCAGGGAAAAGGAACUGAUUUCUAUGAAGGGCCGGGGGGAUGCUAACAAAGGGUCUUUGCUCGCAGAUCGGCCCUGCCUUGUCUUUCAGAAUUUAGGCGCUCAACUGGGCGUAGUGGUUCAGGCCAGUGAUUCCAGCACUGUGAAAGCUGGGGCAGGAUGAUUGCAAUGGUUGGAGGCUAGCCUGACCUACAGAGUGAGCCCGUCUCAAACACACACCCACGACCAAAGCCCCUCAAAUUAUAAUAUUUUCAGGAAAACGAAAAGAUGGAAAAAGGACAUUAUUAUGUUAAAUAGAGUAGGCCAGACUCAAAACGAAAAAUGUUGCCUGUUUUUCUUCUCGUGUGUAGAAUCUACCUGUGGUGGGGACCAUGCAAACAGAAAAGGAACUGUGAGAAAGGCUCAGGGUUAUGGAAUACAUGACAGGAAAGUAGGCAGGGGAAGGGGAUCCAGAGAGAGCAGUGGGGGAGGAGACAUAGAAACAGACACAACGACCUAUGCAUGUUGAAACGCCAUAAGCAAACUCAUAACUUUGUGUGCUAACCUAAAAAAAUAAAAUAAAAAUACAGUAGACACAGCAUUCAGCUACAUUUGGGUAACCCCAGUCAGUGCUGCAUAUGUGCUGCAUGAGAGGAUGCAGAGCUCAGAGAAGAUCCUUGGUGUCGGUCCUCGCUGCCACCCUGUUUGAGACAAGAGCUCCUGGAAGCUGCUGUGCUUGCCCGGGCAUUUGGCCCAAGUGUUUCUGGGAUUUCUCCUUUCACCACCUCCCAUCGAGCGGUAGACACUGUGAUCACAGACCUGUGUGCUACUGUAUCAGGCUUGAUAAGGGGUCGGGGAAUCCUAGCUCAGCCCUCACACUUGUGCAACCAGCCUUUAUCCGUGGAGCCAUCUCCCUAGCCUGAGGCUGUCUGCUUUUAAGUUUACCUAUUGAUUUCUUCCUCAGGCCCUGGGGCCACGGGUGGGCAGCAGCACUUUAUCCCUAAGUCUCUCACCCUAGCUGUUUCCUCAGGCUGCUGAAUUUUUUUUUACAAAGAAACAUUUGCUGUUAGCUUCUGAGUGAGGUGGACUGUGCUCCGCCUCUGGGUACAGUCAGCCAUGUGUCAGUCACCUAACGUAAUUAACUCCUUUUGGUCUGUCUGCCUGGCCUUAAGUGAGUUGUGCUGGUCUUUUCGUUCCCUCUUACCUCUUGACACUGUCCCACCUCCGAAGCUGCUUUCAGGUGCUCCUCAGACUUACUCAGCCCUCCUCCCGAAUCUCUAUGUGCUCCUCCAAGUGACUGCACUAGUAAUCCUCCAUUCCACAGAUACAAACUAUGCGAUCUCUACAGUUCAGUCCCAAAGGAAGGAAAUGAAAAAAGAAAAAACAAAAAUGGAAAUGGUAUAAAGAUACUCUCGGACUCCACACUGACCUCAUUCUUCCUGGUGAGUACGUUCUCUCUCUGUUCUCAACUAAAGCAAACAGACCCAACAUGACUGUGGUUCAAAUCAAGACGACCUUGAGUCAUUCAAGCAAGUUUUUCAUCUCCCUUCACCUCUCCUGUAAAGCCAAUCCUAGGAAGUCCAUGUUUCUCCAGGUAAGGUUAGCAGAUCUUCUGGGGGAUGGGAUGAGGAGAGAGGAGUCUGUGAUUUCCUUAGAAUAAUUUGAUUUUUUUUGUUGUUCAAUGUUUCUAUCAUUUUAGAAAGUACCAUUGGCACUGAAGAGUUAGUUAGCUGUUGGUAGUGCUUGCUGUGUAAGCAUGAGGACCCACAUUCGAGUCCCAGCAGUCAUGUAAAAGCAGGGGCAAAGAGAUUGUAAUCCCAGCCCAAAGGAAGCCAAGUGGAGGAUACUUGGGUUUGUUGUCAGCCAGCUGAGACAAAUUGACCACCUAACAACGGCGAGAGAGACGAACUAAUGUGGAUGUCAAAAGCCAAGUGCUUUCAAGGCAGUGGCUUACUAAGCACCAUGUGGAGGAGAGGGCAGGUGUGAUGGAACAGUGAAGUGAGUCUUGCUUAGAACCAUCCGAAGAAAACUGCCCCGGAACCACUGAGCUUCAAACAGAACACUUGCACUGGCAGGCUGAUUUUGUGUUUGCAAGCCUGGGGCCCAUAAAGACCAAAGAGGUGUCCUUGGAACUGGAGUUACAGAUGGUUGUGAGCCACCAAGCGAGUUCUGGAAACUGAAUCCCCGGGUCCACUCACAAGAGAAGCAAGUUCUUGAACCCUCCCGGCCCUCUUUCCAGCCCCUAAAAGGAACAUCUUAAAAACCAAAAGUAACCUCUCAUAGCUUAAAUCUGAAAAAUUUUAACACUUUAGUGUCACUAUUAAGUCAAUAUUUAAUAAAACAAUGAGCACUUAUACUCUGAAGCAUGUUUCCUCUAAAUUUAUAGUUCUGUACCUUUAUUCUACUACUGUCACCAAACCAUACCCUCAG